CCAAGGUGCUGACCCCAAGGGAGCUUUGAUUGGUCCAGACGGCCUCAGCACUGGACCCAUUAUGUGGCCCUAAAGCUCGGGGGAAGCCUUGGUCACUGACGUCCCGGGGGAUCCAGCUUUCAUUGUGCCCCAUGCCCCGCGGGCUCAAGAGCUGAACCUAGAGAGAGAGAAUCCCUGAAAUACUACUGGGUGUCAAAGCAUCCAGAGCCUCGAAGAGAUCAGUGGAACCCCAGCACUACCCAAGAAUCGAAAGAUAAAUGAAGAGGGGAACCAGGAAGAAUGGACUGAAAAAGAUGAAUGAACCCCUACUCUUGUUUGUAUUUUUUGGUAGCGAUAGAUAGAGAGAUCUUGACAAUUGACUGUAAAUGUAGAGUUGAUUAGAGGCUGGAAUGAGUCACAGGUGUGCCUAAGGCCCCUUGGGCAUAGUUUUUGUUGCUUUCAGGCUGACCCCACUCCUGAUAACAACACCCCUUCUAUCUCCAGUCAACACCUUGGAAUCACCUUGCAAUAUCUAGGUAAAAAAGUUUAGCUCCCCUGUUAGAUUUUUAAUUUCUUCAGUGACAAGAGCUAGAGCUAUCUCUCCUUUCACCUCCACAGAACCUAAAAGUAUAGCUUGUACAUAGUAGGUAAUCAGUAAAUAUUUGCUGGGUAAAUGAACCAGAGUCAGUUAAUAAUUAUUCGAAGCAUCUAAGCAAAUUUUUUAAAGAAAUCUCUUUAUGAGUUGUGAAAUAGGCCAAGUAGUAGAAUUUAUAUUUUAUUCUGAAGGUAACAGCGAAUCAUUAAACUUUAUUAAGUAGUGGCUUGGUCAGCAAUGUAUUAAGAAUUACAAUUUGACAAUUACAUGGUUAAUGAAUUGGAGAGAGGAGAGAAUGGAAUUAGAGAUACCAACUAUCAUUCUCCCUCUCUCCCACAAAUUGUUUUUUUUUAAGCCAUCACUUAUUCCUUACUUCCCACUCACUUUUCCAACACUUGUAAUCUUGUUUCCCAUCUCCAAUGGCUGAAACCAUUCUAAUUUUACAAAUGAUCUAUUAAUUGCUAUUUUUCUCAAUCAUUUUUCUCAUUUACCAUUUUCUCAAUCAUCUUUCUUCUUCACCACUCUACAGUUUUCACUUUGUUGACCACUUCCUCUUUUUAAAUACUCUGUCUUCCCUGGAUUUUCACAACAUUGCUCUCUCCUAGUUCUUCAUCUACUUAUGUCAUCUUGUCUUGUUCCCAAUGUAUAAGUGUAACCAUUGGUCUCUGUCUUGGGCUCUCUUCUUUCUCUAAGCAGAUGCCUCUUAGAUCUAUAUACCUAACCCUUAUCUCUUGAGCUCCAGGUCUAUAAUCAACUACUGUCUAUAGCACACUUCCAAUGGGAUGUCCCAUAGGAAUCUGAAGCUCAAUAUUUCCCCCCAAAAGUUCAUUAUCUUUUACCAUAAACUCACCCUUCUUUCCAACUUUCCUCUAUUAAAGGGAACUACCAACUUGCCAUUAACUCAGGUUCACAGGCAUUGAGUCAUUCUAGACUCUUUGCUCUUUCUCACCCUCAUAUCCAAUUAGCCAAACCACCACAACAUUUUUCAUAUCCAUUCCCUUCUUUCCACUCAUCAUGGUCAUCUGGCUAGUUCAAACCCUCAUCUUUUCUUCUCUAGAUAACUGCAUGAGCCUCCUAAUUGGUGUAAAGAAUAGCAAUAUUUCUGGGGUAAUGUAUAAUCUUCCCAAGUGAAAACUUUGAAGAACAUUCAGGCAUAUAAGUUUUUGAAUAUGCUGUUUAAAAAAAUCUCAGGGGGCAAUUGGGUGGCUCAGUGGAUUGAGAGUCAGGCCUAGAGACAGAAGACCCUAGGUUCAAAUCUGACCUCAGACACUUCCCAGUUGUGUGACCCUGGGCAAGACACUUAGCCCCCAUUGCCUAGCCCUUACCACUCUUCUGCCUUGGAGUCAAUACGCAGUAUAGACUCCAAGACGGAAGGUAAGGGUUUAAAAAAAAUAAAAAUAAAUUUAAAAAUCUCAUUCGUAAAAGAAAACUUAAAAACCACAAUUUAUAUUUAAACACAUCUACAGAGGGUAAGCUAGUUGGCAUAGUGGAGAGAGUACUAGAAUAGCAGGACUGUUCAGGAAAAUUCAUCUUCCUGAGUUCAAAUCAGACUUCAUAUACUUGUUAGCAGUGUGAAUCUGGGAAAAUCAUUUAACUUAAUUUGCCUCAGUUUCCUUAUCUUUAAAUGAGCAGGAGAAGGAAAUGGUAAACUACUCCAGUAACUUUGCCAAGAAACUUCUAAUGAAGUCCUGAAAAGUUGAACAUGAACUGAACAACAACAUGCCUAUACAUAAUGGAUGAUCCAAAAGUUUCUAUAUGGUUUGACAGGAAUUUCAUCAGUUGAUUCUAUAAUUAAAAGGUUUGUUUAUUUUGUCACACUUUUCUUUAUAUUAAUUAUGUAUCUGUAAAGUGACUAUUUUCUUUAUGUGUAAGCAAAUUUAUAGUCUUUCAAACCCAUAUCAGGUAUCUUCUUUCUACUGUGCUUGUCACUAUCUUCACCCUUCAUCUAAAGAGAAUGAAAAAAUAAAAAUUUCGCACAACAAAUAUACAGAAUGAAGCAAAAUAAAUUUGAUCAUUGUUACAUGCUCAAAAAA